ensembl:snoRNA SNORA70 Small nucleolar RNA SNORA70
CUGCAGCCAACUAAGCUGACUGGGUUCCUGUCCUCAUGGGGUGCGAGGUGCGGUGUCAGAAUGCAGCAGCCUCUUUGAAGUGUAGCAAUUGUUGCUUGUACAGGUUGCCCCAACGUACCUUGAAGACAGUU